rnacentral:tRNA from 1 species
AGGUCGGUAGUUCCAACGGCUAGAACGAUGGACUCCAAAUCCAUGCGAUGGGGGUUCGAAUCCCUCCCGGCCUGCCA